rnacentral:lncRNA from 1 species
GAAAGAGGAAGUAACUUGUGGAAUGCUAAGAAAGCCUUGCUUUGGUAUCGGCACAUUUAAAGAAGUGGUUACCUCUUUCAGAAUUAAUGGAUUGGCUUCAGUUGGGAAAGCUGCGCUCACCUGUUGGUGAGCAUGAGGACAUCAACUGGAUGAAGUAUAUGGCUGAACCAAGUCUGAGGACAGGGCAAAAUUGUGGCUAAAGAGUUUCCUCUUGGCUCUGAGCUAUGCCAGCCUAGAAGAUGGGGG